AGCCCCGUAGUCUAGCGGUCAAGGAUAUUCGGCUCUGGACCGGAUGACCACGGUUCGAAAUGGUCUGGGAUGAAAAAGUUCCCUGCCACGCACUUCCGUGCGGGGCUU
rnacentral:tRNA from 1 species